rnacentral:piRNA from 1 species
UGUGUUUGAACAUCUGGACCCAGCUAGC